rnacentral:snRNA from 1 species
AACCUUAAGUGGCAGUAUCAUAACCAAUGAAGUUAAUCUGAUAUGUGAUUAUUGCUAGUUGAAAACUUUUCCUACCAAUGAGCCUGCUAGAACAGUGUUUCUCAACGACCAGUCCUUGGA